AGCGAACGCUGGCGGCAGGCCUAACACAUGCAAGUCGAACGGAUCCUCCGGGAUUAGUGGCGGACGGGUGAGUAACACGUGGGAACGUCCCUUUGGUUCGGAACAACUCAGGGAAACUUGAGCUAAUACCGGAUGUGCCCUUCGGGGGAAAGAUUUAUCGCCAUUGGAGCGGCCCGCGUCGGAUUAGCUAGUUGGUGGGGUAAAGGCCCACCAAGGCGACGAUCCGUAGCUGGUCUGAGAGGAUGAUCAGCCACAUUGGGACUGAGACACGGCCCAAACUCCUACGGGAGGCAGCAGUGGGGAAUCUUGCGCAAUGGGCGAAAGCCUGACGCAGCCAUGCCGCGUGAAUGAUGAAGGUCUUAGGAUUGUAAAAUUCUUUCACCGGGGACGAUAAUGACGGUACCCGGAGAAGAAGCCCCGGCUAACUUCGUGCCAGCCGCCGCCGUAA
rnacentral:rRNA from 1 species